rnacentral:rRNA from 1 species
AACGAACGCUGGCGGCAUGCCUAACACAUGCAAGUCGGACGAAGCCUUCGGGCUCAGUGGCGCACGGGUGCGUAACGCGUGGGAAUCUGCCCUUUGGUUCGGAAUAACAGUUGGAAACGACUGCUAAUACCGGAUGAUGACGAAAGUCCAAAGAUUUAUCGCCAGAGGAUGAGCCCGCGUAGGAUUAGCUAGCUGGUGUGGUAAAGGCGCACCAAGGCGACGAUCCUUAGCUGGUCUGAGAGGAUGAUCAGCCACACUGGGACUGAGACACGGCCCAGACUCCUACGGGAGGCAGCAGUGGGGAAUAUUGGACAAUGGGCGAAAGCCUGAUCCAGCAAUGCCGCGUGAGUGAUGAAGGCCCUAGGGUUGUAAAGCUCUUUUACCCGGGAUGAUAAUGACAGUACCGGGAGAAUAAGCCCCGGCUAACUCCGUGCCAGCCGCCGCGGUAA